UAUUGGUCAAUGGGCGCGAGCCUGAACCAGCCAAGUCGCGUGAGGGAGGACGGCCCUACGGGUUGUAAACCUCUUUUGCCGGGGAGCAACGGGCGUCACGUGUGGCGCCACUGAGAGUACCCGGCGAAAAAGCAUCGGCUAACUCCGUCCCCGCAGCCGCGGUAAUACGGAGGCUGCGAGCGUUAUCCGGAUUUAUUGGGUUUAAAGGGUGCGUAGGCGGAUCGUUAAGUCAGUGGUCAAAUUGAGGGGCUCAACCCCUUCCCGCCAUUGAAACUGGCGAUCUUGAGUGGAAGAGAAGUAUGCGGAAUGCGUGGUGUAGCGGUGAAAUGCAUAGAUAUCACGCAGAACUCCGAUUGCGAAGGCAGCAUACCGGCGCUCAACUGACGCUGAGGCACGAAAGCGUGGGGAUCGAACAGG
rnacentral:rRNA from 1 species